rnacentral:rRNA from 1 species
AGGAUGAACGCUGGCGGCGUGCUUAACACAUGCAAGUCGAACGACGAAGGCUGGAGCUUGCUCUGGCUGGAUUAGUGGCGAACGGGUGAGUAACACGUGAGUAACCUGCCCCAGACUCUGGGAUAAGCGCUGGAAACGGCGUCUAAUACCGGAUACGAGCUUCCACCGCAUGGUGAGGAGCUGGAGAGAAUUUCGGUCUGGGAUGGACUCGCGGCCUAUCAGCUUGUUGGUGAGGUAAUGGCUCACCAAGGCGACGACGGGUAGCCGCUGAGAGGGUGACCGCACACGUGGACUGGAGACCCGGCCAGACUCCGUACGGGAGCAGCAGGUGGGAAUUAGUUGCAACGAAGUCGGGCGCAAGCCUGAUGACAGACGAACGCCG